UCUUGGAUUGUAUAGCUGGGCAACACUUUUGGACAUGGGAUACCAAGGACAAUUUGAUCAACCCACAUCAUGAGGGAAAGGGUCAUCUAGCCCAGAGAACAGCAAGAAGCUAACUGCCCAAGAGUGAGUUUGAAUAAGAGGAUAUUAGAAGGGUUCUUACCCAUGAGGUAAGGUAGCCAGUAUCUCUGGUUUCAAUAAAGACUAAUAGACUGAAGUUAGAGUGGUGCAGCCAGACGUCCAUUAUUAAAUCCAGUCACUCGUGUUGGUGGAAAGCUUGUAGGAAAUAGGCAGAAAGAUACGAAGUGAGGGGCCACGGGUCAAUGACUGGAAGUUGGGAAGAAGAAUGGAGGCACCCAGUCUGACUGAUUUCUUUUUUGAGAUUUCUUUGUUUGUUGGCCUUUGCAGUCCCUAUGCAACUAAGACAAAUUUAUGGAUUCCUGAAAUUUUUGGUGGAGAGUGAAUCACAAUCAGUAAAAUUCCAUCAUGAUAAUGCUAAAUGGUAAAUAUUUUGAAAUUCAUUUACAUGUCUUUGGUUGUAUUUCAGUGCAAAUUAUAUUGAGUCAUUAAAAAUGAGCAUUCACUUUGUUAGUCAUUGUUUGUAACGUUUAACUGAUAUUUUUUAAGUUCAAUACAAAUGUAGUGAGUGAUUAUAAUAUGGAUAUUGAAAAAGAAAGCAAUAGUCUGGAAGAUGUCAACUGCAAGCAACAAAGCUUCAUAAUAUCAACUUUUCUGGGUUAACUCUGAUCAUGAUGGUACUUUUAAUUGAGUUGUUACCAUACGUGCUUCAAAGCAAUGAUUCCAGUUGGCAUCAUCGUUAGCAGCAGCCAUAGUGAUAGCGGCAGCAGCAGCAGCUAUCAUUCAACUUUUUAAGGUGAUGAUCGGUGGGGAACCAGGACAUUUACUUGUUCACCUUACAGGCAUAAUGCUUUGUGUGCGAUAUGCUUAUGACAGCUGUUCUUGGAGAUCUGAGAGUCGUUGGAAGGGCUCGAUCGACAUCUCAGUGAGGCGUAAGCAAUGUGGAGGCAGGUUUUGAAUUGAAGCUGCUAGACCAGUAAUCCCGGCAACCAUGUGCUUGUGGAAUUGAAGUACGUAUGGUUUUCUUCCUGUAUUUUCUGAUGUUUUGGAGAUAGCAUAUUAGUGAUAUGAUUUAUUGUUAAUAUGAUCAUCCAAGUAAUUAUUUUUGAAGUCCUGUUGGCUUACAAUUAUGAUUGUACAGAAUGAAAUGAUGUAAACA